UGACAGCAAACUUAUAUCAGCCUCCCUAUAGAUCUUGAGGAACCUUGGCUGUCAAAAAGUUACAGUAAGUUAAGUUAUCAUUUAAAGGUGCAUAAACUAAAAUUAUGCACCUUUGACUUUAAGAAAUUUGGCCCUUUAUUAUAACAAUACUUGAGGGUGUGCUGCAGUAAUUUAAAAAUAUCUACAUGUUUCUGUUUCUAGUGCAUCUUCAUCAGGAUAAAAACCACAGGCGAGUACAAAAUAGUGAAGUGAUAAUUUGCACGUCACAAUGUCAACAAGGGGAGUAAUUAUAAAUAGAAAAUGAGAGUUGGUAUGAAAUUAAACUUUAAAAACAAUGUUAAAUAAAAUUUGUUGAAUAAUGUUUGAUCAAAUUUUGCAGAGGUACAUGCUUCCAAUUGGCUUCCCUCAGAGUUACAUGCUUCUAAUUGGGACCGCUCUGCCAGGGGUACUACUUCUAAUUAGCUUUUUGCAGACAGAGGUAUAUAUGUACUGCUUCCAAUCAGCUUCGCAACAAGACAGAGGGU
rnacentral:lncRNA from 1 species